GGAGGAAUGGCAGAGCGGUUGAAUGCGGCGGUCUUGAAAACCGUUGUACCGAGAGGUACCGUGGGUUCGAAUCCUACUUCCUCCGCCA
rnacentral:tRNA from 1 species